GGCCGCGGGUAAUUCGAUUAGAUUGAUCAUGGCUAGGGAUGAACGCUGGCGGCACGCCUAACACAUGCAAGUCGAACGGAGUUUAAGAGAGCUUGCUCUUUUAAACUUAGUGGCGGACGGGUGAGUAACACGUGAGCAACCUGCCUUUCAGAGAGGGAUAGCUUCUGGAAACGGAUGGUAAUACCUCAUAACAUAUGUUUUCGGCAUCGGAGACAUAUCAAAGAUUUAUCGCUGAAAGAUGGGCUCGCGUCUGAUUAGCUAGUUGGUGAGGUAACGGCCCACCAAGGCAACUAUCAGUAGCCGGACUGAGAGGUCGAACGGCCACAUUGGGACUGAGACACGGCCCAGACUCCUACGGGAGGCAGCAGUGUGGAAUUUUC
rnacentral:rRNA from 1 species